GUUUGAUUUUGAUAUCUGCAUUUUAUUCGAUUCAUACCUUAUUUUUAAGUGUUCCUCAAAUAUUGAUUCAAUACAUUACCUCGGGCUGACCAAUUCAUUCCAUCAAGAUAUUUGCUGUGUUGGUGUAAUACAUGUACUCAGGUGAAUAAGAUGCUUGUGUGAUGUUACAUACUCUGAGUGGAUAUCCACACUGGGCAGGCUUGAAAAAUAUGCCUGGCCACAGUGGGAUUUGAACCUACAACCUUUGGAAUACUGGCCCAAAUAUGCUCUGCCAACUGAGCUAUACAGUCGGGGCAGUUCGAGUAUGCGAUAUUUCGGAACUGAGUCUAGUUCCUUCGAUAUCAGUGUAAUCUAACAACCAUGAUAUUUGUGAAUAUGAUGCUUGUGUGAUAUUACUCUGAGUGCAUAUCCACACCGGG